CCUACGGGUGGCAGCAGUGGGGAAUAUUGGUCAAUGGGCGCGAGCCUGACCCAGCCAAGUCGCGUGAAGGAUGACUGCCCUACGGGUUGUAACCUUCUUUUAUAAGGGCAUAGAGUGAGGCACUUGUGCCUUUUUGUAUGUACUUUAUGAAUAGGUCUCGGCUAACUCCGUGCCAGCAGCCGCGGUAAUACGGAGGAUCCGAGCGUUAUCCGGAUUUAUUGGGUUUAAAGGGAACGUAGAUGGGUUGUUAAGUCAGUUGUGAAAGUUUGCGGCUCAACCGUAAAAUUGCAAUUGAUACUGGCAGCCUUGAGUACAGUUGAGGUAGGCGGAAUUCGUGGUGUAGCGGUGAAAUGCUUAGAUAUCACGAAGAACUCCGAUUGCGAAGGCAGCUUACUAAACUGCCACUGACAUUGAUGCUCGAAAGUGUGGGUAUCAAACAGGAUUAGAUACCCCUGUAGUC
rnacentral:rRNA from 1 species